CCUUCUACCAUCCUUAUUACCUUCCCUGACCUUAGUAUCUGGACUCCUAGAAAACCUGAGGUACAGAGACAUUAAGUGUCUUGCCCAAGGUCUACAUUGUAUCAAUAGCAGGAUGGAAUAGAACCCAGCUAUCCUAGUUGCCAGCCCUGGGACCUUCUACAAAUAAUUUAAAAGGCUCAAACCUGAAAGCCAGCUAAACUCACUUGCAUUUAUUUUUAAUAUUUCUAGUCUUUCCAUUAUUGUUAUGUAAAAUGAUUGUAUUCAAUUGUCUUCAGUUGAUUUGUGUAUCUCCAUUUUUUAACUGCAGUGUCUGAUUGUCAGCAGAGCACUUCCCAGAUUACAUAGCUGAAAUGAAUAUAUGAAUAUAUUGUGAAAUUAGCAUGAAAUGGACAAUAUGGCAAACUUAUUUCAUAGAUCCAGACAAAAGACAAAUGAAAAUCAAGAAUCCCUGCAACUUCCUCAAAAAGCAUCUUAUUGAAUAAAUUACACUUGGAAAGGCAGCAGUGGUUAUUUUAAUGGGUGAAGAUUGAUGAUCAGGACCUGAAGCCUGUACCAGCAAACAAAGUACCUGCUUACAGUCCACCCCACUGCAAGAUCUCAAUGUCAGAACUGAGUCAAUCAUUCUCAACAAAUAAAAGAAGCUACAUUGUAUUGGCUGUGAAGAAUUUGCUGCAAGUAUCUGAUAUUCACUAUUCAAAAUUUCAGCCAGGACCUAAAAUUCCACAAGAGAUAAGAGCUGGAAGUCGAUAUGCCAGAAGCAGAACAGGGCAACUGGAAAUGAAGACAUACCUCCAAAGCAAAACCUGUCCAAGAUGAAGGUGGCAUUUGUUUUGUGUGACUGUCAUAAUCUGACUGGUGUCCAGAAGUCUGAGAUUAUUCUAACAAUGACACAGCCGUGGACUGAAUUUCCUCAGUGACAAAUGGAAGCAGGAGAGAAUGGAAAUAAGAUGCU